rfam:Loxodonta africana unplaced genomic scaffold scaffold_12, whole genome shotgun sequence.
GCAUUGGUGGUUCAGUGGUAGAAUUCUUGCCUCUCGUGCAAGAGACCCGGGUUCAGUUCCCAGCCAGUGCA